rnacentral:rRNA from 1 species
UACGUAGGGUGCAAGCGUUAAUCGGAAUUACUGGGCGUAAAGCGUGCGCAGGCGGUUUUGUAAGUCUGUCGUGAAAUCCCCGGGCUCAACCUGGGAAUUGCGAUGGAGACUGCAAGGCUAGAAUCUGGCAGAGGGGGUAGAAUUCCACGUGUGAGCAGUGAAAUGCGUAGAGAUGUGGAGGAACACCGAUGGCGGAAGGCAGCCCCCUGGGUCAAGAUUGACGCUCAUGCACGAAAGCGUGGGGAGCAAACGAGG